AUGGACAUUUACAAGAGCGAGGAUUUGCUUUGGCAGCGUCGAGGGGGCCAAAACUGGCUCCUUAAAGGGGAUGCGAACACUGCCUACUUCCAGGCGAUACCCAAUGGUCGCAGGCGGAAAUGUGCCAUCCCUUUCCUCUGGGAUGGGGAUGUUCUUCUGGAAAGCCCAGAGGACAUCUCCACCCAUAUUUACUCCUUCUAUAAGGAGUUGUUUUUGGCUGAGCUGCGUGGUGGCCUCUCCCUUUGCGCUGACUUUUGGCCGCUUGCCGACCAGGUCUCCAAUGCGGAGAAUGCGGAGCUUACUCUCCCUUUCUCUCCCGAGGAGGUGGGACGGGUGAUUGCUUCUACGAAAGCUUGCUCGGCUCUGGGGUCGGAUGGCCUUCCGAUAGUUUUCUUCCAAAAAUUCUGGGAGAUCCUGCAUCCGGUCAUUAUGCCCAUGUUCCAUGAGUUCUAUAUCCGGAACUCUUGA
rnacentral:rRNA from 1 species